AAUUAUAAUCUGCAAUGAAUGUUUCUUGCAGGGCAUACUCUGAAGACAGUAAUGUGCAAGUUCAAGGUUUGACUGUUCAUAUACUUUAAUAAUAAAGAAUGGGUGAAAAAAUUCUCACAUCAUGCUGCAUAACAGUACAUUUCAGCUGUAACAAAAGAAAUUAUCUGAUGAAAGCUUCAACCACGAGAAUCUAGGAAAGGAUGUCAUGAUCAAGUCCAAAG